CCUACGGGGCGCAGCAGUGGGGAAUAUUGGACAAUGGGCGAAAGCCUGAUCCAGCCAUGUCGCGUGUGUGAAGAAGGCCUUCGGGUUGUAAAGCACUUUCAGUGGGGAAGAAAGCCUUGGGGCUAAUACCCUCGAGGAAGGACAUCACCCACAGAAGAAGCACCGGCUAACUCCGUGCCAGCAGCCGCGGUAAUACGGAGGGUGCGAGCGUUAAUCGGAAUUACUGGGCGUAAAGCGCGCGUAGGCGGUCUGAUAAGCCGGUUGUGAAAGCCCCGGGCUCAACCUGGGAACGGCAUCCGGAACUGUCAGGCUAGAGUGCAGGAGAGGAAGGUAGAAUUCCCGGUGUAGCGGUGAAAUGCGUAGAGAUCGGGAGGAAUACCAGUGGCGAAGGCGGCCUUCUGGACUGACACUGACGCUGAGGUGCGAAAGCGUGGGUAGCAAACAGGAUUAGAUACCCCGGUAGUC
rnacentral:rRNA from 1 species